rnacentral:misc_RNA from 1 species
GAUGAAGAACGUAGCGAAAUGCGAUAAGUAGUGUGAAUUGCAGAAUUCAGUGAAUCAUCGAAUCUUUGAACGCACCUUGCGCUCCUUGGUAUUCCGAGGAGCAUGCCUGUUUGAGUGUCAUUAAUAUAUCAACCUCUUCAGCUUAUGCUUGUUGAGUGUUGGAUGGUGGGGGUUUGCUGGUGUCUUAUGAAGUCAGCUCCUCUGAAAUGCAUUAGCGGAACAAUUUGUUGACCGUUCAUUGGUGUGAUAAAAAUAUCUACGCUAUUGACGUCAGUCAGUUCAGCUUCUAACAGUCCAUUGACUUGGACAAAUUUUUCAUUAAUGUGACCUCAAAUCAGGUAGGACUACCCGCUGAACUUAAGCAUAUCAAUAAGCGGAGGA